GCAAGAUCAGAAAGCAGACCGGUGGAGGCAGAGCCAGAGCCUUUAGAGAGGCUUCAGAAAGCUGAGCAGAGUAACGGGGGCUGAGUACUGGAGUCAAGGCAGAGCACAGGAGUUGGCUUCUAGGCUCAGCACCACAGGCCACGGUGUUGUUGAGGGCCAGCCACUCCAGCUCCCCUUAAGGGCCCCUGCUGGAAUGAGGCCCACACAGUUGGACACCAGUUGGACACCCUGGUCUGGAAUCUGCCUCGGCCUGAAGUACCUCCUUCCCAACUGUGGAAUGGGGAUGUUGGUGUCAGCGGAAUCGUCGGGUGUUUGUGGCCCACUUAACUGUGAGCUCCAGUUGACAGCUGCAUGACUUUGAUGCCGACCCUCGGGAUUACUAGAUGUGUUAUAAUUAACUCUGCUGGGAGGGUGUGGACUCUGGGGUCAGCCAGGAUGCCUGAGGUUGCCUGAUUAAGAACAAGAGCUACCCCAAGCCUUGAGUCCAACUGUGACCAUAAAAGGCUUUCUUCAGCCACUUUAUUUAAAGACUGACACCAGCUAGCAUAGUCAUCUGGUAGCCUUGGGAGCCCCCUGAGGUAAAUCUGACAUAUUCUGUUCCUCACUCCUGUUCUGUACCUGUCAAAAUUCUGUAGGGGGCGGGGUGGGGGUGGGGGAGGCUGAAGAGAUGGCUCAGAGAUUAAGAGCACUGGCUGCUCUUCCAGAGGUCCUGAGUUCAAUUCCCAGCAACCACAUGGUGGCUCAUAAUCAUCUAUAGUGUAAUUUGGUGUUCUCUUCCAGUGGGCAGGCAUACACACAGGCA
rnacentral:lncRNA from 1 species